rnacentral:lncRNA from 1 species
CUGAUUUGGUUUGUUCCAGAGUUUUCUGUAGGUAGAGCGUCUAGAGCCGACACGCAGCAUCACAGCCGAGUGAAGAUGGCGGCUCAGAGAGUGAUGCUGUCAACGAGAGUUUGAGUUCACCUCUCAUUUUUAAACUUCUUAAACCUUUGAGGAUCCCUUACGGAUAGCUGUGUCAAAGAAAACUAUAUCGGUCUUUGGCUCUGCUGAUAGACUCCCUCCAGUAAGCUCCGCUGGAGAAGCAGAGAUACUCCUAUUACUGGCCUUUAUGAAGGAGAGCAGUUCAACAACAAUCAGCUUUGUACCACUUAAGAGGCAGGAUGCUGAUUUGUUACCACUGGCGUGCUCAGACUGGCUUCUGGAGGUCUAAUUUCCCCGCAGAUUGAGGAUCUAACUCUAAUCAAACUCACCUGAACUAGCUAAUCAAGGUCUUUGGGUUCACUUGAAAAUUACAGACAGGUGCUUGCAGCAGCACCAGAGCUAAACUCGGCAGGAGUGUUGAUCUUCAGGAGCAGGAUGGAUCACUGCUGUCUUGGCUGAAACUAAAGGCACCUGCCUUGCUGCCUAGGAAACCGAAUUGGCUUCAGAAGGCUUUCAUAACUUGAGUAUGUUUUGUGUGAUACAUUAGUGAAUAUUUAAUGACUAUACAAUAAUUUCAG